GCGCGGGGAUUGGCGGCGCGGCGCGGGGCUCGCCGGGAGCAGCCGGGCCGUGGAGCUGCGGGGCGUGUAUCCCGGAGCCCGGGGCGCGUCGUCUGGGGGGUAACCCGAACCCUCGGAGCUCUUGAAGCUUCGAGGGUGGCUUAGCUUCAGUGUUUUGGCCGAGAACGCCCUUAAAUCUUAAAAUAAAACCCGCCUGCGGACUGUGAGGGAGGACAGAGGACGCGAGCCCGCCCUACAGCGCCCAGCUCGGGCCUGGAAGAUGGGAUGCGCAGGGCUUGGACUGUAGGAUGCGGGACCAGGAGCCCCGCUUUCCGCCGGCGCGGACUCCUGAUCCCCCACCCAACCACCCCAGCCAGCCCUCAGUGCCCUGUCACACUCACAAAGGAGAUGCAGGCGGCCAGGAGAAGGAUUCGCACCAGGAGCGGGGAGCUCUACCCAGAGAAAAAGAAGAAAACGACAUUUCAAUCGGGGUUCAGCUUCAUGCCCCCCACCCCCAGGACUUUAUGGCUAAGCAGGAGGAAUGCCCAAACAUGGAGGGGAGCCGAAGAUGGGCAGCUUCGGGGAGCGGAGCAUGAGCAGAGGGAAGGAGGCAAGCUUUACAGGGCACUCCUGCCAGCGGGGCCCUUUCAGGCUGGAGACGAGGGACUGGAAUCCCAGCUAUGAAGGACAGGUAGUAGACCUGGCUGUGGCUGACCAGUUCCAAACUUCUGUUUAACCGUCAGUAAACACACACUUGGUAGGAGCCUAAGUCAAGAAUUCAGAGCAGGAAGGACGCCUGGCAGUCAUCAGUCCUGUCACCGUCCAGCCAAUUAAGAGAAACUGCUGGAGGCCUCAGGAAGCACUGUUGAAUCCCACUUCUCAAUCGGAGCCAGAAAGGCCCUGGAUGCUGGCCUUGGCUCUGGGCCUCACUGCAUGGACCGGCCCCCCCAGGCCCUGUUGCAAGCACAGCCACAGCCAUCACCUUGGAACUGAGAUAAACCCCUUUAUUUGUU